AUGGUGCGCCAGACACGCGGGCUAUCAGGCCAACACACCAGGACCGGACCAUUUGGCCACCUUUGGAGGCAGGCCACUAUUCCACAUUCCUACCCCUCGGCCGGCUAUAAUUACCCCCAGGCCACCACCCGCCCGCGCGCAUUCCCGGUCUCACACACACACGCCAGCAGAGAGGGGUACCGCCGUGCCCUACCGGGGGGAGGGGAGGCGGAGGCCGCCGCGGAGAGCCGCACGGGACUAAGCUGCGACGCUCGACGAUCCCAUCCUCUCCGGGGAGCUCCUCGAUCGGGAGCUGUUCGAGCGAUCAAGCCCUCCCUUGCAUUCCCUGAGCAAUCCGAAACUGCACCCCCGGGUUCACGAGACAGGAACUCGAGCCUCCAGUGCAUCUUUGCAAUGGUUUUAGAUAUGGCACCACGAGGAAGAUCUCCGAAGCAUGUGUGCAACAAGUGCUAUAAGAACUUUCCUUCAGGGAGGGCUCUUGGAGGCCACAUGUCACUCCACUGGCGCAAAGUGAAGCAGCCAAAGGGAACACCAAGCCCUCCUGCCACUGUUGUCGACUUGAAUGUGUCGCUGCUGAGUCCAAGUGAUGAGGAGAUUUUGCUGUGGUUCUCAGGAACACAAUGCCAGCUGUGCUCAAAGGUGUUCUCUGCCUGCGAUUCUCUGAGGAAGCACAUGAGAGAGCAUGGGGAGAAGAACGUCCUGAGUAAGCCCGUCGAAGAAGCAGCUGGGCUGAUGGAAGCUCGGGCCAUUGCUGGUGGUGGCUGCAAUGUCCUGUUAUCCCCUGUGAAGCGCAAGCGGUCAAAGAGGGGGGCACCACCACUCAAGUUUAAUGAGAUGGAUGCUGCAGCCUCUCUCCUGCUGCUUUCAGAGCAUUCUAGCAAGAUUUCAGCUAAUGAAGAUUGCUAUACAGAAGUUAUGGACAGUUUGCCCCCCAAUGUGUCGAAGGAUGUGAAGCUGAAUGCUUUUGGUCAUCAACUGGUUCGAUCUGCUGAGUUCAAGAAGCCGAAAGGUUGCAAGUGUUCAUCUUAUGAUAUUUGCUAUGGGCAAUGUGUUAUGGACACCAACUUGAUCCCCAAUGUUGCCAAGGAAAAAACUUUGAUCCCUAACAUUGCCAAGAAUUCAGCUUGUGAGGAUUGCUUUGGACAAUGUGAGAAGGACAGCAGCUUGAUCCCCAAUGUUGACAAGAAGGAAAGAAGUUUGAUCGCCAAUAUUCCUGAGAAGGACAACACCUUGAUCUCCAUUGUUCUUGAGGAGGUAGAGCUGAAUGUGCUUGAUCAUGUGCUGGCUGGAGAUGCUGAGCUUAGGAAGAAGCAAAGAACUGACAAUUCAGUUGAGAUGAAGUGUGCUGAUCUUUCAGCUGCAGUGAAGGUCAAGAGGCACCAGUGUAAUGCCUGUGGGAAGUCAUUUGGGUCAGGGUCAGCGUUGGGAGGCCACAUGAGGUGGCACCUUCCUAGAUCCAAUGAUCGCCGUCAUGGGUUCGCCGAAAGCCCUGAUUCUGUUGUGAUGAAAGAGCAAAAGCAGAAGCUUGAAUUGGGCGCCAAGUUUCUUGAUCUCCGACUUCCAGGUCUCACUGACAUCACUAUUUUCUCGGGCUUGAAAUCUGAACCUGAGCCGUGGCGUGUUGCAAGCAGUGUUCACUGA
rnacentral:rRNA from 1 species